GUGAGGAAUUUUCCGCAAUGGACGAAAGCCUGACGGAGCAAUGCCGCGUGAAGGAUGAAGGCCUAUGGGUUGUAAACUUCUUUUCUCAGAAAAGAAUUAUGACGGUAUCUGAGGAAUAAGCAUCGGCUAACUCUGUGCCAGCAGCCGCGGUAAGACAGAGGAUGCAAGCGUUAUCCGGAAUGAUUGGGCGUAAAGCGUCUGUAGGUUGUUUAAAAAGUAUUCUGUCAAAGAUUAGGGCUUAACCCUAGAUAGGCAGAAUAAACUUUUAAGCUAGAGUUUGGUAGAGGCAGAGGGAAUUCCCGGUGGAGCGGUGAAAUGCGUAGAUAUCGGGAGGAACACCAAAGGCGAAGGCACUCUGCUGGGCCAAUACUAACACUGAGAGACGAAAGCGAGGGGAGCAAAUGGGAUUAGAAACCCGAGUAGUCC
rnacentral:rRNA from 1 species